GAUGAACGCUGGCGGCGUGCCUAAUACAUGCAAGUCGAGCGAACAGACGAGGAGCUUGCUCCUCUGACGUUAGCGGCGGACGGGUGAGUAACACGUGGAUAACCUACCUAUAAGACUGGGAUAACUUCGGGAAACCGGAGCUAAUACCGGAUAAUAUAUUGAACCGCAUGGUUCAAUAGUGAAAGACGGUUUUGCUGUCACUUAUAGAUGGAUCCGCGCCGCAUUAGCUAGUUGGUAAGGUAACGGCUUACCAAGGCAACGAUGCGUAGCCGACCUGAGAGGGUGAUCCGCCACACUGGGACUGAGACACGAUCCAGACUCCUACGGGAGGCAGCAGUAGGGAAUCUUCCGCAAUGGGCGAAAGCCUGACGGAGCAACGCAGCGUGAGUGAUGCAGGUCUUCGGAUCGUAAAACUCUGUUAUUAGGGAAGAACAAAUGUGUAAGUAACUAUGCACGUCUUGACGGUACCUAAUCAGAAAGCCACGGCUAACUACGUG
rnacentral:rRNA from 1 species